GAGACGGAGUAAGAGGAGCUUGAAUGAACCUCGGAAAAAGCGAAAUGUUUAACUUUAUGUCUGAGAUUGCGGCAAAUAACUCGAAAUCCCUGUCUGAGCCACGCACACGUUCCUGUGUUCCUGUGUCGCCUUCAGCCCCUCCUGGCGGUUUCUGCUUGUUGCUAUCGUUGUCGUCGGUCUGCAGUCUCCAGUCUCGAGUCUCCAGGCCAACCAACAACGAAUCAGUCGGAUUCAGUGUGGAGUGGCCGGCACAUCGAUGCGAUGAUAACUGGCAUGGCCAAGAGCCAGCAGGACAUGCUGGUGCCAGUCAGCACAAACGACAAUUUAAUGGAUAGUUCAAUGGCACCGAGCACCCGACCAAAACGAACUAGAGUUACUUCCUAUGAAGAUAGUAUAUACCUUCUAUGUUAGCUUCUAUAUUAUGCUAGUACACACAUAUGAAUUAAGAGUAUCCCAAGUAAAAAUAAUAAUACAGACUAACCCUUUUGCCUUUGGGGUAUCCAUUAAAGAGUUUAAUAUACUUAUUUCUAAAAUGCUUCAUGAACUAGUAUAUAAUAGUAUUUCCAAAGACUCUAGAAUCGGGAGAGCCUUUGACUAGUUCGUCGCCUGGCCAGCUGUUGCUGCUGCCCCCAUCGAUGGAGCACGCUAACUGCUGCUAUUGGCAAUCAGGCUGCUUAAACGCUGCCAGCUAUCCAACUAGCCGGCCAACGACGUGAGCUUAAUGCGCAAAAAGCAGGGAUAGCUGGUCCUGUAAGAGAGUAUCUGGUGGGGGAAGCGGCAAAAGGGGAGCAGGGGAGCAGGGGGGAAGAAGGAAGAGUGCAUUGGCGUUCGAGUGGCACAAGAUUUAUGCUCGGGUCAACAAGGUCGAUGGCGGCAAGCGUUGCACAUGUUGUCGUCUCAUCUUAAACGUAUUAGGAGCUGGAGCUCCAGUGCCAAGCUCUUUUGCUCCGAACUCAUUUCGUAUGCAGCUCAGGCGAUGUUUUAGCAGUUUGCUCUAUUAUUUAUUGCUGGCCGUUUCACUGGCCAGUUCGUCCCAGUUCGUCCCUGUGUGAGUCCAUCCCUUUUGAGAAUCCAUUUGAAAAUCAAAAUCGCAGCUAAUGCGCCAUCAGCAAAUACACAACGAGAUUGCGACAGGGAUGAGCAACGUGGCCUGACCUUCAGUCGAGAAAUCUCAUUAGCAUUGGAGCAGGCUAUAGAAAGGCGUAAGGAUCUGAGGAGCUACGAAACUGAGCAGGCAGAGGGAAAUGGAGCACAUUGAGGGGACUUUGUCGGCGCCAGCUUACUGACUUAAAACACAGGGGCAAACGGUGCUGCUCGGCAGUAAGUUUUCCCAGUAGCUAGCUGUGCAAAAUUUAUUGAAAAACUUUCUUAUCGCAUUUGAACAAGCGAGUAACUUCUCUGGAUAAGAGGACAAAAAAAAACAAGGAAAACGAAAUGCCAGCGACGACUGGCCGGCCAGACUGAAAGUAACUUAAUUGUUUGCAGAUACAAAUAAAUGAGUUGCACAAAAAAAAACACAACACACUCACACAAAAGGACACGAGGCCAGGCAAGGCCAAGCUCACAACAAGGGACAGGAAAACAAGAAGAAAAUCUUGACUUGAUUGUUGGAAAAUCUUUGGCCCAGCCAGGCAAACAAAUCGAAAACUUUAAUGCGCUGCAGAGCAACGGGAAGGUGGCGGCGAAAGAUUAAAAGAACUGUUUCGGAUUCUCAAAAGGAUUUCAGGACACGACAUUUAUUUAGGAAGCUGCUUCUAAUUAGUGGCAAAACAAUGGAGGCGGAGGCAGCUUAUCCUUUACGUUUUGUUCCGUUUUGUAAGGGAAUGCUUUUACUUUCUUAUUUGGCUUGAUUGUACAAGGAGCGGUGAAAUGAUAUGAUGCAGUGAAAUGAACAGUGAGUUGAAACGCCUUAGGCGUAUUGGAAAUAUUACAAAAAGUUAAGUACGCAAGGGAAUCCUACAAUCAAGGACAUUUGUUAACUUGUGAACCUCCAUAUAGUUUUCUAACUCAAAUCGAAGCCUGCCGAAGGAAAAAAUAACAAGGCCAUGUCCGAGUUGAAAAGCAAUAAAGAUUUCCGCAAGUUCAGCGAUUCGCUAGAAACAUGCCAGCGCAAAAGGACUCCCACUCAGGAUUCAGGAUUCAGGAUCGUGGAAUGGGCCGAAUGGGCGGGUCAUCUCGCCUGCGGUCGCAUUGACAUUAUAGCCUGGCCGAGACAGAAAUUCACAGGAAUCCAUGGAACUACAACAAUAACAACAAUAGUGGCAGGAGAGGCAUGACAUUGAGGGCCAGGACAAUAACUGGGAUAACAAUAAGCACAAUGGCGACGAGAAGGACGAAGGCGGGACGAGCUAAAGCCCGCAUUGUGGAGAUGCUGCUGGCAAGGCAUUCAGCUGUUUGCACAACAAUUUGAUCAAUUUCGUUAUUAAUCCGAUUUGAUGGGGCGAAGAACCCCAUCGGCAGCCAUUUUGACGAUUUUGUGGUUAUUGUCGGAAGUGCAAAUGCAAAUGCAAAUGGAGAUGCAUCCACCGCAAGCUAGAGAGGAGUGCAGAUGAGAUGAGGGGAGAGAGGAGAAGAUGGACCGGGGUAAUGGCUCCUGGGAGUGGGGGCCAAUUGCCAUGCCAGUCACAUGCCCGUUGCCAAAUUUGCACUGGCACAAGUCAAACGCCCCCAUCGAGUUGACAAUGGAGUCCCUGCAUGCCAAUGAAUUGACUCGCACUCGCACUCGCACUCGCAGCAAUCCAAGCCGAAAUUCCCAGUAAAAAUCAAACGUGUCGCUGAUCCGGGGCUUCCUUUAAGUCAAGCGCACCAGGCGGCAAAUGUCUGGAGUGCCAGCUGCUUAACCCACUAAAAACCACUAAAGGCUUUAAAGCAAGAAAGCACUUCGAACUACCAAAACUAUAUUUAGAUUAUGUACCAGAAAAAGGACAUUCAAGAAGCUAAAUCUUUUUAAAGCGCUUAAGCUUUUAAAAAAUAUAUUGAAUAACUUCUGAGGAAGAUUUUAUAGUUAUUAUAGUUUUUCGGUAAUAUUAAUAACAUAAAAUUGCUACUAAUUUAUCUCAAGUUACUAUCUCAUGCUACUCAGCCCCAAAAACUAACCGGAGCUCUUUUGUGCACAGUGGGUUAAUGGAAUCCCCUUCAGGAUGCAGCAAUGCUUCUUUCCAUUGUAGCUGUUAGCCUGGGGAUAUGCAAUGGCAGCACAUUAAAAUAUGUGCAUGCGAUAACGGCUGAAGAGAGGGGAGCUUUGGGUUGAGUUCGGUUGGGGAGAUGCCAAGAUGCCAAUGCAGGCGACAACGUUCGACAACUGCCAAUGAGUGGGCCUGGCCAGGAGGCGGAGCAGGAGGAGGAGCAGGGACACCAAUCGGGAUGGGGAGCACUGGCGGUUGGGGUCCGUUCAAGUGCGCGUCAGCAGCUACGAGCAGCACAUUUCCGUUUCCGCACACGAAAUGCUCUGGAAACGAAGCAUUUUCAAAAUGCAAAACGUGGCGCAAAAUGUAAACAGGGUUGGGGGCACCACCAAAAGGUACACCGAGAAAUAUGAUUUCCAUUUUGUUUUUUUUUUGUUGAAGAGUAAGCUAGAUUCUUUGCAAUCUAUGAACACCAUUAUAUUUUUUACUUUAACGGUUGCCACAUUUCAAGAUACUACGAAAUGCUGAGUAGUGCAUACUUUAGGUAGUUAAUUUGAAUUGAUUGUGAAACUAGUUAUUGCUUUUAUAAUAUAAAUAUAAUUUUAAAAGUGAAUACCGCA